rnacentral:rRNA from 1 species
GACGAGCGGCGGACGGGUGAGUAAUGUUCGGAAACUGCCUGAUGGAGGGGGAUAACUACUGGAAACGGUAGCUAAUACCGCAUAACGUCGCAAGACCAAAGAGGGGGACCUUCGGGCCUCUUGCCAUCAGAUGUGCCCAGAUGGGAUUAGCUAGUAGGUGGGGUAACGGUCACCUAGGCGACGAUCCCUAGCUGGUCUGAGAGGAUGACCAGCACACUGGAACUGAGAACACGGUCCAGACUCCUACGGGAGGCAGCAGUGGGGAAUAUUGCACAAUGGGCGCAAGCCUGAUGCAGGCAUGCCGCGUGUAUGAAGAAGGCCUUCGGGUUGUAAAGUACUUUCAGCGGGGAGGAAGGUGUUGUGGUUAAUAACCACAGCAAUUGACGUUACCCGCAGAAGAAGCACCGGCUAACUCCGUGCCAGCAGCCGCGGUAAUACGGUGGGUGCAAGCGUAAUCGGAAUUACUGGGCGGUAAAGCGCACGGCAGGCGGUCUGUCAAAGGUCGGAUCGUGAAAUCCCCCCGGGGGGGCUCCCAAAACCCGUUGGGGGAAAACUUUGGGCAUUUUCCCGAAAAAACCUUGGGGGCGCGGGGNCUAAAGG